ensembl:snRNA U6 U6 spliceosomal RNA
UUGCUUUUGCAGCACGUAUACUAAAAUUGAAAAGAUACAGAAAAUAUUAGAGUGGCCUCCACGAGAGGAUAAGUUGAAAUUUAUUAAAUGUUCCAUGUGUUU